GUUGUAUUAUUAGUUAAUGCAAGAUCGACUACGUCGACUAAAGUUCUAGGUAGAAUAAUGAUGAUGACAAUUUUUUACCUAUAUGUCUUGACCAAGUCUCGUGCCAGCAGUCGCGGUAAUACGUGGAAGACUAGUGUUAUUCAUCUUUAUUAGGUUUAAAGGGUACCUAGACGGUAUUUCUAGCCCAAAAUAGGGUACGGAUUUACUAGAGUUUUAUGUGAGGAGGGGAGUACUCGUGGAGUAGAGAUGAAAUUUUGUUAUACUAUGAGGUAACUGGUGGCGGCGAAAGCAACCUUCUAUGUAUAAACUGACGUUGAGGGACGAAGGCUUGGGUAGCAAAUAGGAUUAGAUACCCUAGUAGUCCAAGCAGACAAUUCUGAAUGCCAUAGAUUAGAUUAUUUUUGAUCUAUAAAUGAAAGUGUAAGCAUUCCACCUUAGGAGUAAUGUGGCAACACAGGAACUGAAAUCAUUAGACCGUUUCUGAAACCAGUAGUGAAGUAUGUUAUUUAAUUUGAUGGUCCACAAAAAACCUUACCACAACUUGAAUAUUUUUUAAUUAAUACAAGCGUUGCACGGCUGUCUUCAGUUAAUGUCGUGAGAUUUUGGUUAACUCCAUUAAUUAACGUAAACCCUUACUUUAUUUA
rnacentral:rRNA from 1 species